AGUCUAGGAGCAACUAGGCCCAUUUUUACAUUCUUUUUCCUACAUUGGCAAGAAGCUACACUCUUGGACUGUGCAACUUUUGCCAAAGGCAAUUUCCAGGAUAGAUUGAAAGCCUCUCGCAAAUCGGAAAUCAAUCUAUGGGUUUAGGUUGAAGCUGAGAGGCUGCUCCACUUCAGGGCAGACUAUCAAAUCUCUAGCUUGAAGAAAAACAGAUGAGCUCCAUAGUUGCAAAGAGAAACUUUUUUCCCCCUAAAAAUUUCUCAAAAUCAGCAAUUUCUCUAUCUUAGGUUGUUUCUGAUGGUAUGAAAAAGGUUGUCCUUAAAGUGCAAUUUGUCAGACUAAUUCUCUUAUGGUUUUAAACUGAACCUUUGGAGGGACCAAGAGAACAUAGCACGUCCCUAUAUUCAGUGUAUCAGUGGAUUCAUCAUCAAGAGAAGCUUUUAUUCUUUAGGAUUUUCUGGGGCACAAUGACCUCUCCUCCAAACAAGAAGAUAGAAGAGAUCUCACUAUUUAGACAGGCUUCUCAGUCUCCUAUCCUCCCUGGACAUAUUGGACAUCAGAGAUUUACUGUAGAGAAAAUGUUCUUUGUCUCCCAAGUAAUUCAUCAGAGAGUAAAUAACACCAGUAAAUGACAUUGCCUGAUGCCAACUGCCUUUUGAGGGAAAUUAAAACCAGAACUCAAAUGCUAUGAAAUCUUAUGACAAAUGGCAUUUUCUUUUCUCCAUAUUUUUCUAAAUGUAAGGUGGUUUGGGUAUCCAACCAAGCGCUAUUAAACAUUUCUCUCUCUCUUUUUUGAUCUUUUUGUCUUUUUAGGGCUGCACCCAUGGCAUAUGGAGGUUCCCAGGCUAGGGGUCUAAUCAGAGCUGUAGCUGCCAGCCUAUGCCACAGCCACAGCAACUCAGGAUCCGAGCCGUGUCUGUGACCUACACCACAGCUCACAGCAAUGAUGGAUCCUUAACCCACUGAGCGAGGCCAGGGAUCGAACCCGCAACCUAAUGGUUCAUAGUAGAUUUGUUUCCUCUGCACCACGACAGGAACUCCAAACAUUUCAAAUAUGUCUUCAUUGUGAGCAUAAGGCACUUAAAACCUCUUUUGAGAUACCUGUGCAAUAAUAUUUAAUUCAUGCCAAAUUUAAAUAUCAUCUCCUUUAGUUUCCUGAAUUGAGAGGAAAAAAAGUUCAAAUGAGAAAGAAAACAAAACUUUUCAUUUCCAUGUUCACUUAUUUUAAGUGAUUGAACAAAAGACCAAUAUAACCUUGAGUCACUGCAACAUGUAAAUUAUGCUUUCGGUCUUGCCAAAUUGAUAUGGUCAUUUGUCACUGAAUAGUCCCUCAAAAGGAAAAUAUCAGCAGCGCAAGGACAUUUCAUCUGAAUUUUCUCUUGGACCUCCUUAUACCACAAUGGAUAGGAAUAUUGCUGAAAAAAAAAGGGUGAAAGGGUUGGCCCCACCCAAAAUUUAGCUAAUGAGAAUAUCCAGAGUUGGGACUGAGGAAUCUGCUCCUUGGCAAAUAUUCUGAUUCUUUUUUUUCUUUUUAGGGCUGCACCUGGGGCAUACAGAAGUUCUCAGGCUAGGGGUCUAAUCGGAGCUAUAGCUGCCAGGCUUUGCUACAACCACAACAAUGCCAGAUCAAAGCCUCAUCUGUGACCUACACUAUAGCUUGCAGCAAUGCCGGAUUCUUAACCCACUAAGCAAGACCAGGUAUUGAACCUGAAUCUGCAUGGAUACUAGUUGGAUUCUUAACCCACUGAGCCAGUGGGAACUCCUCUAUAUGAUUCUUGAACACUAUUAAAUUUGAGAACCCAAAUUAGGGAUUCUGUUCUGACACUAGAUUUAAUAAUCAAACAACAUGAUUUCAAAAACAGAAUUAUAUAAAUUUUGCAAUUUAUUUUUGUCUGGAAUUUUUUACAUUAUUAUACAGUUAAAAUAUUGUAUGAGUAAUUCAAUAUUAUUGUUUUAUUAUAUUAAAAUAUAUUAAUAAUUUCUUAAAAUCAAAUAAUUUUUUAAAAUUCUGAAUCAAAUAUGUGACAUGUAUCUUUUCUUAUUGGAACCAGAUAUAUUACAUUUACUUGAAAUUUCAAAAAAAAAUCUUUCUUUCAUUAAAAAAUGGGGAAAUUUAAUAAAAACAUAUGAACUAUGCUCAAGUGCUGGAUAACAGAAAACCAGUACUCUUACCCUCUGAGAAGAACCACAAAGAGAAUGUGCCCUGGAAUUUUCCAGGCUUUGUUUCAAGAAUUCAGUGCUGUGAGGAUGGAAUGAACCAGAGCAAGAUGGUUUUGUUGAGUUGAGGAAACAGAGAUUCCAAUGUGAGACGGCUGAAGCAAGAAUUUUCAGACCAGGGAAGUGGAGGGAGUUAUGCAGAGAAAGUACUCAAAACAUGUGUAGGACUCUACUCAGGUCUGCUGAAUCCAAACCUGUAUGUGCAUCAAGUUAAGCUCUGUGAUACCAAGCAAAAGUGAACCAGCUAAUCCAAAACUAUCUGCUAUCAAGAGAUGGUCAGUUGAAUAAUUCCUGAGCUCAUACAGGAGUUAGGGGUAUUCCUCUUACAACCAGCCAGAGUAGAAUUCUCAGUGAAAACUCAGCAUAUUCAUUAGAGACCACAGUUUGCAAUGCUAAAAAAGUCCUGGAAAAAAUAAUAUUCUAAAAGCUUCCUAAUAAAGGUUAAAACUAAGCUGAAAGAAUCAAAGUGAUUGGCAAGUAACUUACUGCCUGACAAAAUAAACUUCAACAAAUUUUUUUUUUUUUUGGCUUUUUUAUGGCCGCACCCACAGGAUAUGGAAAUUCCCAGGCUAGGGGUCAAAUUGGAGCUGCAGCUGCCAGCCUACACCACAGCCACGACAAUGUCAGAUCCAAGCUGCAUCCUAAUACCACAGCUCACGGUAAUGCCAGAUCCUUAACUCACUGAGCAAUGCCAAGGAUUGAACCUGUAUCCUCAUGGAUACUAGUCAGGUUUGUAACCUCUGAGCCAUGACAAUAACUCCAACUUCAACAAUAUUUAAAAGAAGCCAAAACAAUCUAUAUACAUUUCUAUUGAUUUUUAUCUACCUAUCUACCUACCUCCAUAUAACAUCAUAAAGCCAGCAUCUAACCCAAAAUUAAUAGACAUAUGAAGACCUAGAAAAAUGUUGACAACCAUGAGAAAAAUCUUUACAUGAAAACAGACAUAGAAAUGACAGCAAUAAAGGAAUCAGUAGACAACUUUAAUCUGAAAAAGAAUGAAUAUAUGUAUAUGUACAAUUCAGUUACUUUGCUUUCUACCUGAAACUAAUGCAAUAUUUUAAGGCAAUUAUAUCCAACAAAAUUUUAAAAUUUUUUAAAUUUAAAAAUAAAAGAUAAUUUAUAUAUAAGAUGAAAAAAUUAACUGGGCUUAAUAGAACACUUGCAUUUGACACUGAAAAACAGAUCAGUGAAUUAAAAGACAUAGCAAUAGAAACCAUCUAUACUGAAACACAAAGAAAAAAAACCUAAAAGAAUGAAAAAAAACCUCAGUGGUUUAUAGUGGUCAACAGACAUGGUAUCAGUGAUUAACAAACACAGUAUUUGAGUACAAAUAUAAAAGUAAGAAAGAACCAAAUCAAUGUGUUAAAAAAAAUGGCUGAAAAAUUUUUCAAAUUGAUAAAAAUCCAAGAAGCUUGAUGACUCCUAAGCAAGAUAAAUAGAGAGCAUACCAUACCAAAGAAUGUGCUGGAAAACAGUGAUAAAGAGAAAACUUCAAAGCUGCCAAAGAAAGAAGUCACAAUAAAUAUUGUAGAAUAAAGAUAAGAAUGAUCUCUGACUUUUCAUCAAAAAAAAAAAGGUACACCAGUAGGCAAUGGAAAGACAGUCUUUAAGUUGCUAAAAACAAAUAUUCAGAAUUUUACAUGGAGCAAAAAUAUUCUUCAAAAAGAAAACUAAAAAUAUGUUCCUAUGAGAAAUACCUAAGAGAAUUUGAGGUCAGCAGAUAUGCACUACCAGUUGUAUUACAGAAAGUUCUUCAGAUGGGAAGCUGGAUCUUUACAAAGGAAUAAAGAGUGAGAAAUGUUAAAAGUGUGAAAUUUUUUUUCUCAUUUUAGAAGUUCUUUAAAUUCAAGAUUAUAUCAUUAGACUUAUAUCAGUAAAUUUUAAGAUAUAUUGCAGUAA
rnacentral:lncRNA from 1 species